rnacentral:rRNA from 1 species
GACGGAGGGGGCAAGCGUUGUUCGGAGUUACUGGGCGUAAAGCGCGCGUAGGCGGUGCGGUAAGUCAGGGGUUAAAGGCUGCAGCUCAACUGCAGUAAGGCCUUUGAUACUAUCGCGCUAGAGUACCAGAGAGGAUGGCGGAAUUCCCGGUGUAGCGGUGAAAUACGUAGAUAUCUGGAAGAACACCAGUGGCGAAGGCGGCUACUUGGUUCGCAACUGACGCUGAGGCGCGAAAGCGUGGGGAGCAAACAGG